rnacentral:rRNA from 1 species
GACGAACGCUGGCGGCGUGCUUAACACAUGCAAGUCGAACGGAAAGGCCCUGCUUGCAGGGUACUCGAGUGGCGAACGGGUGAGUAACACGUGGGUGAUCUGCCCUGCACCUCGGGAUAAGCCUGGGAAACUGGGUCUAAUACCGGAUAGGAGCCAUUUUUAGUGUGAUGGUUGGAAAGUUUUUUCGGUGUAGGAUGAGCUCGCGGCCUAUCAGCUUGUUGGUGGGGUAAUGGCCUACCAAGGCGGCGACGGGUAGCCGGCCUGAGAGGGUGGACGGCCACAUUGGGACUGAGAUACGGCCCAGACUCCUACGGGAGGCAGCAGUGGGGAAUAUUGCACAAUGGGCGCAAGCCUGAUGCAGCGACGCCGCGUGGGGGAUGACGGCCUUCGGGUUGUAAACUCCUUUCGCUAGGGACGAAGCUUUUGUGACGGUACCUAGAUAAGAAGCACCGGCUAACUACGUG